AUUGAACGCUGGCGGCAGGCCUAACACAUGCAAGUCGAGCGAGCGGCGGACGGGUUAGUAAUGUCUGGGAAACUGCCUGAUGGAGGGGGAUAACUACUGGAAACGGUAGCUAAUACCGCAUACCCUCGGAUGUGCCCAGAUGGGAUUAGCUUGUAGGUGAGUUAACGGCUCACCUGGGCGACGAUCCCUAGCUGGUCUGAGAGGCUGACCAGCCACACUGGAACGUUGACACGGUCCAGACUCCUACGGGAGGCAGCAGUGGGGAAUAUUGCACAAUGGGCGAAAGCCUGAUCCAGCCAUGCCGCGGGUGUGAAGAAGGUCUUCGGAUUGUAAAGCACUUUAAGUUGGGAGGCGUUACCAACAGAAUAAGCACCGGCUAACUUCGUGCCAGCCGCCGCGGUAAUAC
rnacentral:rRNA from 1 species